UUUUUUUUUUUUUUUUUUUUUUGGUUGAUGUGGUUGUCGUUUGAAUGAAUAGAUCUGAGGGAGAGAGAGUUUGUUUUGAAAUUGGGGGAGAGAGGGAGGAUUAAUUUUGGGGGGUGGAGUUGGGACUGUUGGAGUGGGAGGGGAAAGGGGAAGCGAUGAUCGCGUUGAUGAAGGGAGAGAAACGGGGGAGAUUGAUUGUGGGCCGUUGGAUUCCUGAGAGUGAUGGCCAGGUAAAAGUAGUUCCAAUCAAGCUGGCAUACACGGGGAUUUUGAUUUUGAUUCUGGCAAGGCAGGCUUAAAAGUUGGCUUUACCCCUUUUUGCUUUCAUUAAUAUAAUUCAUUUUCUUUUCUUUCUUUAAAUUUAAAUUUUGAAAGGCAGGUGGGUCUGUUCGUUUGGGCUGCCCACUUGAAAGCGGGCUGGCUCCGAGGGAGAAUGGUCACGUCUGGGGUUUUUUUUUUUUUUUUUUUUUUUUUUAUACCAAGACAAAGACAAUGGAUAAUUUCGUAAAUCUACCUCUGACAUCACCACUAUUAUAGCACACGGAUAAGCUAUUAAGUUGUUUUCACCAGCUUUGGUUUGAAGUUUAUCCACUUGGUUAAAUCGAAGUGACUGGAAACAUAGAACAACUAUGUUAAAUGCCGUGAGCUAUGCACAUGUACAUGUACAGUCUAGAAUUUUAGAUUAUUACUUGAUUAAGAUGAGCCGUUUGUUUGUCGAAAUGCUGACUCGGUGGGUUAUAUCAAAGGCGAAGCAGAAAAUGUUGAAUUUUAUAGAAUAUACACCGGCCAUGGGGCAAGUUCGACAAAUUGUGGAGCAUUUCGAGAAAAAAAUGUUCGCUUUCUUAUUUUAUUUUUGGUUUGGGGGGGUGCAUGAAUACGUCAGUGCCACCGAACACAACAUGAUUAGUUGCCCGAAUUGUCCAACGAUUUGUAAAAUUUUCUUCAGCACGUGGCUUCCAUUUCACAGACCCUUUGGCUUUUGAGUGUUGUUGUAGUCUAAGCUAAAUGACAAAUUCCGAAUUAUGAUUAUUGAAGUUUGUUAACUCAAGUGUUUGAUAUAUUUCCAAGGUAUUUGAUGAAAUGUCCGAAUGACUAGUUUUAGAGGGGAAAACUCAGCUUUGAUGAAAGAGCAGUGAAUCAGGAAAAUGAAUGGUGACGUAGAAUUGAAGAUUACAGCCGGAAAUCAUAGGUUGAAAGAAUGAAGGAUUUGGGGGGUAAGAACAAUGAACAUUUGUCCAUGCAAGAACAGUUGCUCCAAACCAAAGAUCAAUUUGUAGCCAUUAAUUAAAUCAUAGUUAGAUGCAGCUGUGAAUUAGUACAAUAUUAAACAAAAAAAAGGCUGAUAUAUUUAUAACAUUGCUCUUCAGUCUCUUUCUGCGUUUAUUUUUUGGUUUAGUUUUUCAGUGCUAAUAUCCAGCCCAAAGUGUACUUGUCUGUGAAAAUAUAUAACAGCCAGCAUUGAGAAAUAAUCUAACGCAACUACGAUGACUUUAUAACCUUAAUUUUAUAUUACCACAUUCACUGGAUAUUAAACUGAUCGAGAUGAGCUUUUGGAGCGGGCCACUAACUAUAUGAGAAAUGGCUGUUUUUGCGUCAUUGGUUGGACACUGCGGUGCCGAGCCAACUGUGCAUAUUAAUUCCGAACAAUUUGGUAACGCUUAACGAGUGACUGCUGGUGCCUUGCUUCCUUUGACCUUAACCCACUUACAUAUUUCUUUUCUACAAUAAAAUUUAGUCUUGGAAUAACAUCAACAGCUCUAAUGAUAACAAUAGGACUCUCCAAAAAAAAUAAAAAUUAUCAAAAACACCACAAGGUUGUUUUGUUAUGUCAAAUAAAUGCCCAUGUUUUGGUUAGCACAGCUGCAACGGUAAUUGUGGAUGAUGAUUGUUUUUUUGAAUGGUUGGUAAUUAUGGGUUUGAACUGGACUCGACUAGCUUACAGAAUCUGUAAGGUACAGACUGCAGCAUCAGCCGUUGGAUGUGGUUGGAUGUGGAGUGAGAAACUAAACAAUAGAAUAUCGGAUGGUGGGAUGACGGGAGAUGUUUGUUACAGAAUCUGUACCAUAGACAGGUCCGUUUGAACUUUGAACUUUGAAAUAGCCCAAAUAUCAUAAGACAUUCCGACAUGUCCCAAAACUUAACCUACUUUUUGACUAAUAAUUUGUUUCAUUACAUAAUCUUAACAAAAACUGUCUCACAAUUUAAAAGUCGGUCCAUCAUACAUUUAUACUCCUAAUCAGAAAUCAACAAAAUAAAGGGUGCUGCUCACAGGUGGCAGGUCAAUGAAGUAGCAGCUAUCUAUCUUAUUUAUUUAUUUAUUUUUAUAGCGAAUCUUACCGCUCAAAUUUGGCGUUUGGCCGCUGCCCACUAGCCCCACUAAACGGUUUCUGUAAUCAGUAAUCUAUAUAAAUAAAUUUAUUUAGAAAUGUUAGUUGCGUUGGUCUCGGGCAGAAGAAGAAUUUUUGUGUACCUUCCACACCGAUGGUCAUUUCACUAACGUUUUCUUUACUAUUUAAAGUAGGCUUUAAGUAAGACUCUCUCCCCCAAUCUUUACACGUGCCAAAUCGUGCCCCAAUGUCGUAACCGCAGUCAAAAUAAUCUUAAAUCUUUGACUUUCUUCUGCUUCCAAGACUUUUUAACUUAAUGAUGACGGUAACUUGCAAGCCGCGACCUCUGUUACCGGCUUGAGUUUCAGAAGCCUUUUUCUUUUUUUGGUCCUUCAAGUUCAAGCCUUGCAAAGAAGAGGAAAUCAUGGAGAGAUAUGAGAUUGUGAAGGAUAUAGGGUCUGGGAACUUUGGGGUAGCCAAGCUUGUCAGAGACAAAUGGACAAGGGAGCUUCUUGCUGUUAAGUUCAUUGAGAGAGGCCAAAAGGUUUGGGAAUAUUGAAUUGGACUCAUUUUCCUAUCUGGGUUACCAUCUUUUCCUCUUGGCUCUCUGUUUUUGGUUGAUGAGGUGUUUUGUUGGUCUUGCAGAUUGAUGAACAUGUGCAAAGGGAAAUCAUGAACCACAGAUCAUUGAAGCAUCCUAAUAUUGUCAGAUUCAAAGAGGUAUGGUUUUAACUGUCUAUAUUUCUGAAAAAUGCUAAUUUUCUUCUGUUGAGUGCUUAGAUGUUGCAUGCAAUGGCAGCCAGUGUUCUGUUUGCAUAUGCAAAGGUAACCUCUCUGGGUGUUCAGCUGCCCCGACCUUGUUUCCCGCUAUAUUUGUUUAACCAUAAAAUAGAAAUUUUCUCUUCCAAAUUCUGUUGCGCGUUUAUUUCUUGAUAAUUAACUUCAAACUACAAGCCUGUUUUGAGUUACCUUUAUGGAAAUGAAGCUACAUAGCUUGCCAAAAAUGCUACUAAAUAUAUACACCAAAUAGCAUAUGGCAGUUUGAAGUUAGUUAUCUUGAUGUUUCCCCUUCAUUUUUAGAUUAUACGGGGUUGAAGUUUCAUGGCUUUGUUAUUGGAUAAUCUACCUUCAUGCUUAACUGGAUAUAACUGCAUAACUUUUCGUCUUUAGCAUCGGAAAGCCAAGAUGAGAACCAAUUCAAUAGGUUGAACAACCCCCUUCACUUUAUAGACCUCUAAGCCCAAAUUAGUAUGAAUCAUUGCAAACUUAGUGUGAUUAUCAAAAUCUGUUUUAGUUCAAUAGCAAAAUAGUAAUAAUGAAUAUGUACAUUGCAUUUUGGGAAAGAGGAUUCUACAUAUGAUUUUUGAGGCUACUCUUUGUAGGUUCUGCUGACCCCUACUCAUCUAGCCAUAGUCAUGGAAUAUGCUGCUGGAGGAGAACUGUUUGAGAGGAUAUGCAAUGCUGGCAGAUUCAGUGAGGAUGAGGUAAAGCAUAAGGAGAACGAUUCAUUUGACAUAUUUGCUUCACAUAAUAUUUAGUUUCCUGGCUGUUUCACGGAGCAAUUUUCUUCCUAAAUUCUUUCUGUGUGGCAUUUGAAAAGAGUGCUUAUGAUUGUAUAUUUUCUAAGAGUUUGUUAAUAACUAAAAUUUGAUUCAUACGAUUUUCUUAUACUCUUAUUUGUUUUUGCAUCAGGCAAGGUUUUUCUUCCAGCAACUGAUAUCAGGAGUCAGUUAUUGCCAUUCUAUGGUACUAAGUUUAAUCCUUCUUCAUUAAGUUGUCCUUCUUUCAAUAAAUUGCAGUGUCUGACUUAAAGAGUUCUAUGUUUUGCAGCAAAUUUGUCACAGAGAUCUCAAGCUUGAGAAUACACUCUUGGAUGGCAGCACUGCUCCACGUGUUAAGAUAUGUGACUUUGGGUACUCGAAGGUAAUUAUAUUUGCUGAUGCUAAAGAAUCAUGUCAAGCAGUCAAAAUUAAUAAUGUUUACUCACUAAUUCUUCUUGUCUUAUUUUGUAGUCUUCUGUGUUGCAUUCUCAACCAAAAUCUACAGUAGGAACCCCAGCAUACAUUGCACCCGAAGUUCUAACUAAAAAAGAAUAUGAUGGGAAGGUAAAAUCCCAUCUAUCUUUCGCAUUUUAUUGGUGCUUGAUCAUUUGAUUUAAUUAACAAAUGGAAAGAUGUCUCUAUUUCUAAUCCUCAAGAACAACAGAUUGCAGAUGUUUGGUCUUGUGGGGUCACCUUAUAUGUGAUGCUAGUUGGGGCAUAUCCUUUUGAAGAUCCUGAAGAUCCAAAAAACUUUAGAAAGACGAUCGGUGUGAGUAUUUACAUGGACUGUUCACUGGUGUUCCUGAGCUGCACUCUCAUUUCAUUCUUAUUUUUUGAAGGUUUCUGUUAAUAAUUUAUUGGUUAUUGCAGCAAAUACUCAGUGUCCACUACUCAUUUCCAGAUUAUGUUAGAGUUUCCCUGGAGUGUAAACAUCUACUUUCUCGGAUUUUUGUGGCAAAUUCCGAAAAGGUAAUUUAGCGUCUGUGAAACUGAAAAUGUAGCCAGCGGAUUCCAACUUAAACAUAUAAGCUAGUUCAGCAGGCAUGGGGAAGGAUAAAGCAAUGUCUUACUAGUCCUGUAACCGCUAUAAUUUCAUCUGCAAGUCCAAACACACAGUUUAAUGUUGUUUAUUAUAUAAAGUUUACUCACUAGUCAUGCUACAAAUUUUAGCACUUUUGUUGUAGGUAUCUAUGAUUUGAGAUAUAGAUGCAUUCAUACAAUUGAGAUAACAUGCAUUGUUAACUUCAGUCUGGUUAUUUCUUUGCAGAGAAUUACUAUUCCAGAAAUCAAAAACCAUCCAUGGUUCUUAAGAAACUUGCCCAUAGAGCUUACAGAAGGAGGGAGCUGGCAAAGCCAUGAUGUAAAUAACCCAUCCCAAAGCCUUGAAGAAGUGCUGUCCCUAAUACAUGAAGCCACAAAACCCAUUGAGGCUCCCAGAGUUGGGGGACAUUUACUUGGUAGCAGCAUGGAACUUGAUGACUUAGAUGCUGAUGCUGAUCUUGAAGAUACCGAGACAAGUGGCGAUUUUGUGUGCCCAUUGUGAUCAAAGCAUAUAAAUAAAGAGGUAUUGUUUUCACCAUCGCAAGAAUCAGAAUUUUGUUAGUGAAAGUGAUUAAGUGAUUACUCUAUUACAAAUCCUUUGUUUUAACAUUUGGCACAUUUAUAUAUGAUCUUUCUGUAUCACCUGUGUUGUAAAGGUAUUAAUAUAAUAUCUUUUUUUUUUUAACUACAAUUAUAUGCUGUUGGGAAAAGCAUAUCAUAAAGCGACCUGAUAUAUAUAUAAUAUGAUUGUAGCGCCUUCUAAAUGUGUUGAUGUGUAGGAUUAUUCAUUCAGACUCCAUGGAUACUUCUAGGGCCAGUUUCCUUUUUCAUUUGUUGAAUAAAGAAGGUUGAAAGUAUUUCUUUUUGCUUAUCUUAACAUCAUAAUUUAUAUUGUACCAAGAAGUCGCAAACCUGCUAAACUAAUUAUUGUUUAUUAUAACGAUCUUCAAAAAUGCUAUCAACAGCUUGAAGAAGCGAGUGCUUUUUAUCCUCACUUUCGUUCUUCUGCAUCCAACGGGCUAUAGAGUGUGAGAGGUUUUUCUUUUAUCUUUUUUUACGUCUGAUUUUCUUUCUUUUUUUUGGAGGGGGGGGGGGGGGGGUGUGGGGGUGGAGGAGCAUGUGGGUUAUCUUGUAUAAGAGGCAGGGUGCCCUGUUACUGUUGAAUUUGUAUAUAAGAAUUUAUACAAUAUAUUGUUUCAUAGUCACAGCCAAUAAUGAUAAAGUAGCCAUGUUUUGAAUGUCUCAAUAGUUUACCCAUGCUGUGAAAAGUGUACGCCUUCAAUUUUAUGCAAAUUUGAAGAAUUAAAUUAAUUAGUCCAUAGUGCAGUUCAUGAAAUGCUACAGGAAUUUGAAUCAAUCAGACAUUACAUCACUUACCUGAAAGUCCUUGUUGAUCGAUAAUUGGUACUGUGGCAAAAUAGAGUAUAAAAAUUCAAACACGGAAAUGAGAAGCUGAGCUUGCCUUCAUGUGGGUACAUUCAGUGGCAUGCUUGAUGAUUCGAACGCCACUGAGCUGAAGAAUCAAGACAAUGGCUCCAACAGAUUUAUUACAGUAACUCAAUUUAAGCGUUAGAUAAUGUUACUUUCAAAUUCUUAUUUUCUUUUCAAAUGAUUUAUAGAGUUCAUGUGUAAGUGUAACCAACCACUCAAGGAAAGGAAGACAUAACAAAGACCAGAGAGACAAUGUGUACGCAAAGCUUGAAUCAUCAAUUUCAAUACAAUUUUGUUUCGAGAAACAAAAUAUUUUAGCUUUUAAAAAAAGGAUUAAUAUCAUAAUUAUAUAUUUGGGAAAAAUAUAUUAAUUCCUUUUUUAAUAUUGGGAUAAAUUUUACUUAAUUAAGGGGGGAGGGAAGAAUGUUUUCCUUUAAUAUAAAAGAACACGGAGGAUUUGAACAAGAAAAAAGAUUAAUUAGUCUUGGGUGACACAUAUUUUUGACAUAUUUUAAAAAUAUUCGAACGGGUAACAUUCUAUUAACUUUUGCCUUUAACUUUAACUGGUUAAGGGUAAAAUUAGAAAAAAAAUAGAUUUUUUUUUUCAUAAAUCCAAAGGGAUAAAAAAUUAUAUCUGUAUAAUGUUUUACAAUUCAUAAGAGAUCUACUUCUUUAUGUUCACAAAUUAGUUUGAUUCAACAAGAAAUUGUUUGAUUUAACAAAAAAAAAAAAGCCGUGUCAAUUCAACUUAAAUUUAAAUUUUUAUAUAUUUUUAUUUAAAAAAUUAAAAUAAGUGAAUAGGGGGUAGAAACAUCAUUCGUAACAAAUUGUAAGCGUAAAAAUAUCAUUUUGUAACUAAUUAUAGAGAUAAGAACAUCAUUUUGUAAUUAAUGUAGGGGGAGAAACAUCAUUUUGUAACUAUUUUACUAUACAAGUUAAAGUAACAGCAAAAGUUAAAGAAAUGUCACAUACUCAAGUAUUUUUAAAGUAUAUAUUAUGUUCUUAAAAUUUGUCAAAAUAUGUAUCACCUAAGAUAAUUAAGAAAAAUUGAGCAUGUAGUUAAUUUUCAUCUGCAUGUACGUACAUUGGAACAAUUGAAAUGUAAGGUUAUAUAUGAUAUUCUAUUUCAACCAUUCUCAAAAGCACAAUUACAAACAGAUAAGAGAUAGAUACUGCCUUUUAUAUAAAAGCUAAUUAAUCUCGUCGCUAACUGUCCAGUGUUCCAUUUCAUUAUUUUGUGUGGCUGUCGUGUCUGAAUAUUAGAUGUAUGUAGAUACUUCGAUGAUAUUUUGAUGCGUUUAAGGAAAAUUAUUUUGAUGAUAUAUUGACGUCGUCGGCUUCCGGCAAGUUACUCUUUACUUGACAUUACCCAUAUGUUUAGAUUCAAAUAUGUCCUAUACAACGAAGAUGGGAUCGUCGGCAGAAUGGAAUUGGAGGUGAUGUACGCAUCCCUAAUAUAAAGCAGCCACCACAAUGCCGCCAUCAUAUGAAGGCAAAUGAAGGUGAACCACUGUCACUUCUGAUUGAUUGGCAAAUUUUGACCUAUAAUCAGGUGGUUUUGCACCAUGAGCCACCACCAUUAAACGACUGCUUCACAGUUCCCAAGCAUACUUGGACUGUUGGACAGCCGUGCUCUUCCACUAAGCCGCCAUUGCUGGAAAAAUUCACCAUUUAGUAGAUCACAAGAUUCUCGAUCCAAUGAUGCCUUUUGGGCGAUCAUAGGUCAACAAUUACGGUCACCGCAACGAAAAUUUGCUUUUUAAAUUAUUAAAUAUUUAUACUAUUUAAUAAAAAAUAUUUUUAUUUAUUAAAAAAGUUCUUAUUUGUUAAUAAAAAUAUUAAUUGUUAUAUUUUUUGUAAUUAUUUAAUAAUUAUUUGAAGUUAAAAGUCUUUUUUUUUUAACAAAAUGUUGACAUUUUAGUCAUUGUAUGAGGACACCACACACUUAGGAUCAAUUUAACAAACAUGUAUUCCAAACUUACUAAAAAGUAAUUCUUUUAUAAUAAGUUUACCAAACAUUUUAUGAAUUACUUUAAAAAGUUGGAGCCCCCUACGUUACGCUAAUCGUAACGUACAUUCACACACAACAACAGUACCCAUGGUGGAACUCGCUACUGUUGCUGUAUGUGGCGUACGUUACGAUUAACGUAACGUAGCACUGGCCUAAAAAGUUUAUUAUUAUGAAAUCUAAUUUAAAAGCGAUUAAUUGAGAAUCAAAGCAAUCCCAUACAUACCCCAUAGCUUAUUACAAGAGAAAAUUAGUGACGAAAAAGAUGAGGGAUUUCCGUAAGUUAAACAUGGAACUUAAAUAUGCACAAAUCAAGGCUUCAAAUAAAUGAAUGACAAAUGCAAAAAUGAUCAAGCGUAGCCCUUGUAGUUAUUGAGUUCUCCCCAUACUGUCAUCUCAACUUCUUCCCACGACUUAGCCGUCCUGAGUUCUUUCCAUGUACUGAAAAUAGUUCCCAAUACAUUAUCGUCAUGCAAAAUGCAGUAGCACCUGCAGACAUGAAACCAUCCAGAAUUACUUGUACCAAAAAGAUGAAAACGCAAUUCAAUCCCGAUAUAAAUGAGAACAUUCACAGAUAUAUUACAAGCUAACUAAUAAUGGGUUCAUUUCUAUAAUAUACUUUUUCAAACCUACGAACGAAUGAUCCUUUACUAGCCUUGAAAUACACAGAAGGGGAGAAAAUUUUCCAGGACUUGGAUUUCUUGUUACAAGCAAAAAAUUUCACAAACCAUAUAGCACUUACCACUACAUUUACGACACCAGUGAUCGAAUAACCAUUCACAACCAAAACUAGACUUUUGAUGUGGACCAAAAUCAUCCUCAUCCAAAACUGCUAACUCUCUCAACUUGGUUUUCAUCCAAGAUGUGAGUUAAACUUGAAUGCGCAAGUCAAGAAUUUCUCAUCACACACUGGCCAAAUGGCACAUGGAUCCACAAUACUAUUUUAAUAAAUGAAUGUGUUUGCUUUUUCACCAUACGACACUGUAACAGUCAUAGGUCUAAUGAUCGUCUACCAUGGUGCAAGCUGACCUCUCCCUCAAGCACCAUUCAGGAGCACCAUCCCAAGUAUUUCUAGGCCUGGAUUUGCUCAUAGACCCAUGCUACAGGUACAUCAUCUAAAACAACAUACGCUAGAUUUUUUUCAUUUUUCCUUACCUGAAGAAUGCAAUACCUAACAUCCUGGUAACAAUUUCAGAGGCAAAAAAAUCGAGUUUGUGGUAAUACUUCAGAUUGUAUAUCGAUUUUACUCAUGAUCUCCUAAUAAAUAUGCACCAAUAUCCAUGCUGGUUUUCUUAAAUAAUGUAAAAUGUUGCUUGAAUAGUAAUUACUGAUAAUGUUGUCAGUACAAUAUCACAUACAGGAUAAAUCAACACAACUGAAAAUCAAGCAACGCUGCUGAAGAGAUGUAGACAUGAGGAUACAAAAGAAAGUAACUAAAUUAGGCCAAUACUUACAUUGCAUGGUAUGAAAGUCGUGAAAACUUGCCGCCUCCUGAUCCAUGCUGUUGCAUUCUUCUCACUAAAGGAAGUUUGUAACUUUCUAAAAAUUGCUUAAAGAGAGAAGAGUCACCUCUAAAGAUAUCUAAAUGUAUAGGGAUCACGUCAUAAAUGGGAUCACCUACAGAAAAGAUAAAAUUGAAUUAGAUGCUGCAAUAUCAUAAUGUAGUUUUAAUAGUAACUUUUUGGCUGACAAUAAAUGAUUACUUUCAUAGUGAGUAUACAUGAGAUUGACCAUGUUUCAGAUAUAAGAAUAUUCAUCAGCUAAACAAUUAGUUAUCCCGUACAAGAUUUUAAGAGUUAAGAAUGAGCACAUUGCUACAUAACAUUCAGUAUGGCAGUAACCGGAAGGAAUGAUGGAUGCAGAUAGAUGUAGAUAGAUGGAAAACGGCUUCUUGUCUUUUGGUCUUCUGUAAUUUUUAGCUUCGCUGAAUCUGCUAGUUAUGGUUUUAUCUUAUGCUUGUCUGAUGUUUAGUAGUCUUCCUUAAUUCCCCGAAUCUUUUUGGUCUUUCUGCUUUAAUCCUUGAUGAACUGAAUUUUGUACUGAAUAAGUACAAUAUGAAACACAAAUUGAGUUAAGCAAAAAGCACUUACCGAUAGAAAGAUUACUAAAAUCAAUUAUGUGGCUACAAUGCCAAGACUUUGCUUCUCCAAAUUCAUCAUAGCCAUUUAUGGAGCCAUUGACCAUUGGGCCAGUAUCUGCAGCAUUUCCAUUUGAGCGUGAGCUAGCACAACAUGGUUCCAUAUAAACAUUGUCAUCCAUGAUAUCCGAGUGUAUCCAGGAGCAAGGUUUGCAAACUUUAUUCAGGCCAUUCUCAUCCUGAAAUCAAAUAGAAAUGAGAUCCUACCAUGAUAAAAAAAUAAAGAAUGUACUAGUUAACAGAGGUUCUACCAUGAAUAUCUUUACCAAAAAAUAAAAAUGAAAUGGCAAUGAAGUCUGGAAGAAACCUGGUAGAUGUCAAGCAACUUCACAAAAUCAUCUGGGAUGUAUUCAUCAACUUUGUCAAUCAAUGCUUUAGGAAUUGGAUGUCCCCUAAAAAUUACAACAGCAUCUCAGAAGUGUCACAUUGAUACAAUUGUGCAAUGGUAGACACAAAAUUAAAUUCAUAUAUGCAAUAAAUGUGUGAGUACACAAAACCAGAUUUAAAGGAUCUGAGAUAUAUAAAACCUGCUGAUAAAGAGUAUGAUAUGCAUUAAUAGCAUCCAGGGAGGACAGAAAAAGGAAUCAAAAGCAAGAUUCUCUUUCUUUAGAUUGAUAAGGUGCAACAGAGGUGUAUAUAUAACAUACUGUACUGACUCAAUUUAAUAAGACCAGAUUCAUCAGAUUCAUAUGAACAAUCUGUUCACCAGAAGCCGACAGUAAUCAAGAGACAAUUCCUAGAUUUCAAAGUAUAAUAACCCUAGUGGUCUGGAAAUGUUUAUAUCACCAAACGCAAUAGCUGUCUCAGUACUGAUAAAGAGGCACAAAGUACUGAAAAAGAUAUAGACAUACCAAGCAGUCAAGCGGUUAACAAGAUUCUUCUUCUUCCUGGCUAGAGUUCUGAUGAAGAUUUCCCAUUCUGCUGGAACACUCGAUGUAUCCACAACAUCUUCCACAAAACCAUUGUUAAAGGGUGGUUCGGUUUUCAGUUUAUCUGACAAGGAUGACUCAUUGAAAGGUGGACAAGGCAAGAGAUGAAGGUUGCGCAACUGCUCGCCUAAAAAGGAAGCCAAGUUUAGCACAUCCUCCCCCGAGAGUGCAUCUCUUCUGCAAAAAAAUGAAAAUGGAUUUGAUACUGAAAGCUUCGCCAAUGCUGGCUACUACCAGCACAUCUGUAAUUCUAAGCUGAGCUGCAUCUGAAUUAAACAAGAAGAGCUUAUGUUCAGACAACUUACAACUGAGCAAACAUCUUCCCUUUGCAUCGUUUUGUUAUAAUAUAUGGCCAUAUCCUAUUGCAUCCAUCUGAAGUGCUUAAUUUAGAUACUGACAUCCAAGCACUUCUAUAUUCAAACUGCUUUUUGUUCCAUAUUCCAAAAGGGAACUCUUCUUGUUUGCAAUUCAGCAGAGUCAGAUUGCACUUACCAAUCACAUCAAGCACUCCUUUACCAUCCCAAGGCACAAUUGUAUAUGACCCAUUUUCAACAUAAAGAAUACCACUUGCCAGAACAUCAGGAAUGUAAUUUUUCAGAGGGGAGUUGACUUUAGCCAAUAAACUAUAAAACUCGAGCUGCAAAAAAGCAAAAUAAAGUUACAAAUUUCACAAGCUUAAGGCUUUGCGUUUAAUGGCUGCUUAACAUGUGACAAACUCCAAUCCGACCGAUAGUUCCUAUGAAUGUUAAAAACCCAUCAUUCUAUUGAUUUAAUUACAAUCAGUGACUGUCCUCUGAAUGCAUAGAUUCAUGUGACAGGCUUGUUAAUUGUAUUCAGUCAUGGAUUUGAAUUGACAUGUUCGGAUUUAAAUAAUGUUGUUGGGCAUUUUAUUAGCUUAACCUAUUAGAAUUAGAGGUUAUUCAGUGCAAGUUGUGAAAGAUUUGUAAGAGAAGAAAGACAAAGUCAUACCUCAGUUCCCAAACCAUAAAUUGAAGAUUCAAACCCACCUUCAACAAAAAUUUUUACUACACAGUCGGCCAUGAGAUAAACCUGUUAAGAGCAAUAUCAGAACAAUUACAAGAGAUACAACAAAACUCAAAAUUAUAAAAUAAUCUGUUGUUUCAGUAACAAAUUUAUACAUUUUUGACACGACAGCCAACUGAUAUAAAUCAGAUUCUUUUGGCUUUAACAGUUAAUUUAAUCUAGCCCCAUAACUUGACAGAUUAAAACUCAAUGCUGCAGUUCUGCCAAUUCUGCUCAGGACCAAAAACCUUAGGAUCUCCUAGCCUGAACUGAAACUUAACAUUCCCUAUCAUAUAAGUUUAACUGACAGCACCUCUAGGAAACAGGUUGCCUAAUCCUACACCCAUAUUCACACUCUGAUAGAGGAAGCACACAAGAGAAGCACCGGGAAAAAUGCAAAAUAAGAGGAAAAAGAUGAGGGAUCAGUGAACUAUGCAGGUCCGAUGUUUAAAAGAUAAUCAUUCCAAUUAUCUAACACCAUCCUUAUCCUCUAUGGCAUUUCAGUGGCAGCUAUGUAGAAUCAGUCAGGAAGAAAUUCCUUUUAGCACAUAUCCCAACAAUGAAUAAGUGCCCCACCCAAAAAAAAAAAAAUUCCAUCUUCCACAACAAUGCAAAUAUCCUUUGCAAACCAUCCCAUCCACGUGCAUACAUCGGUUGAAAACACAAAAUCUAUAAGCAUGAAUAAUGAUCCAACUUUGCCUUUCAAGAAAUGAACGUUAAAAAAUAAUGCAUUUCAAUAUUUGAAACAGUAAUGUAAAGAGGCAGGUUGACUGAAAGAUACAAUUCGGGAAAAAGUAAAUAAUCAUAAAAAAUGACAAACUCACAGGAUUGCUACCAUUGCCAACUGGAAGCUUCUCUUCAGCAGUUAGGGUAGGCAAUUUGUGGAAGUUACAUAUUUCUUCAAGAAGUUCCAACCACUUACCUGCAUUUAGAGCAAGACAUGCUCCCUAAGGCAAUAAAGGACAUAAGUUAGAGGGGAAAAAAAUUGACCACGAGAGGCUAAGAAAGAAAAAUAUACAUACAUUCUGCUUAAUAAAUUUCUAUGGCUUAUCAACCCCAAAAGAAGAAAAAGAAAAAAAAAAAAGUUUCCUCAUUCUAUGCAUCAAGCUGCCCAAGUUGACAAAAAGAAAGAAAAGGUAAUACCUUCCAUAUUAGCUCUCUCAUUUCUGGUUUGCCAACCCAAAGCUUGUACAGCCAUUCUCUCAUUUCUCGCUUUCCAGUGCAGUUACCAGAGCUCCAUGGAAAAUUAUAGUGGUCUCUAUCUUCAUCCAAAAACUUUGCCAAGAAAUUUAUAUCAUAUGAAAAAUCUUGUUUUGAGGAAUUAUAAUUUUUAGAGACACCAUUAGUAUCUUCUUCAUGGUUUUGAAUCUCCCCACAUCUGUUAACUCUGACUCUCUUCUCUUUCCUUGUCAGGUCAGGGUAACUCAUAUCAUGAUCACCAGCAGUCGUAUUCUUUCCACCACCCUCAAGACUUUCUUCCUCAAGGGCAAGCAAUCCAGCACGGCAAACUCCUUUAUGACGAUAACCAGGAGCAAAAUCCAAACAAACAAAUUCAAAGUUUUUGGAAUCGACAAAAUUCUGAGUAACAGCAAUAGUUGUUUCCAAAUUCAGGAUGCAGUGCCACCAUCCACUUGGAACAACAAUUGUCUCCCCAGGUAGUUGGGUACAUUCAAUUGGCUUGUCAUCGUCAGCAAGAAGAGGGUAGAAGUCUAGCCACCACUUUACACAUAAAAAGUGACUCAAUAAAGGUAAAUUGUGUGAAUGCUAUUAGAAGAGAGAUGAAAUAUGUCUUAAAUACCUCCAAGGACGAUGGAGUCUCAAUAUUGACAUCACCAUCAUCUUCAUUUACAUGUACUGUAACACCUAGAGGUACUCGUCCAGGAGGAUACAAUGCCCACCUAUUCAAAGACAAAGGAGACAAUGCCUCUUAGAUACCAAGCUCUUUCAAUCAUAUGAGAGCAAAUAUGAAGGGAAAAAGAUCAGUAACUAUUGUCAACACAUCCAUUUGACAAGAGUAAAGGCACUUCUAAAGUUGCAGUUGCAUAAAAAAUAAAGUUAAAACAGCAAUUGAGUAAUUGCCACCUUCUUUUUCCUUGUUACCAGCAGGUGGUAUUGCUAUUUAUUUAGUGGGGACAUGGUUAAAGUUCAACCUCAACACCUACCAUAUCCAAACAAUCAAAGGUAUAUAGGAAAGUAUCCAGAAAAGGAGCAACAAAAGAAAAGAAAGACAAGUAGCCUAAGGCCUUCUAGGUUAUAUAGGUACCGUUAUUUUGGGAGUACGGUUAAAUAGGUUAUAUAGGUACGUUGUUAGCACUCAACUCUAACAACCCAAGGGCUACACAAGUGGCCUGCAGUCAGCACUAAGCCGACCAUCUAGUUUUUGAGCAUGGAUGAGCCAGUGCUGUUAGAGAAGGAAAAGAAGGCAGAAAAGAAAGGUACAAAACAUCUGCAACAAAGCAUCUAUGCCAACGUGCAUCUUCACACACACCAUGGGGGAAGCAUUUCACUCAUUGCAUGAUAGUGGAGACAUCGUUAUGAAGAGAAAGUUAACAAAAAGGAGAUAGAAAAAUCUAGGAUAUUCCACAAGACAAAAUACUUUAUAUUUAUCUAUUUUCCCCUGUAACUGAUUUAUGAAACAGUUAAAAAUUAAAACUAAAACUAGGACAUGUCAAGCGAUGGUAUUGUGGCCAGGAACAUGUUCUAAAUAUGCAAUAGGAUGCAUUUUUGUUUCUAAACAAUUUCAUGGCCAAUGCUAUCGACUGUAAGAAGUAAGAAAUCACAACAACAGAUUCAGUAGGGAAAAACCAAAACCCAGAAACAAACUAUUUCCAAGUCCAUAAUUUACCUUUUACGGCCACACAAUAGAGUAUUCCAAGCACUGGUAAGAGCUGGAUCAACGUGCCAUGAAGCACCAGACCUCUGUGGCCCAAUAAUAACCCAUCUAUAAGAAGGUCGCAUAUCUCCAUCUAAAACAUUAAAUAAGUCUUCUUGAAACAGAUCAGGCACUCUGUAAUCCUCCAACAAUCCCUGUGCAUUUUCCCCAAACUGCAUAUGCAGAAGUUGAUAUCAAAAUUCCUAUUUACCAGAAAAGAAUGCAUGAAUAUCACUAAAACGACAAGGACACCUUGUAAUCAAAAAUAUAUAAAGGAUCUUCAUCGUGCUGAACAUUCAUGUAUGCAACAUAAUCCUUAAAUUUCAUUGAAAUGCUCCGAACACUCCUUUGAGAAAUCCUAAAUGCUGUAUCUCCAUAUCUGGUCAAUAGCUGGUCAAUAGUCCAUGUAUUCCUCGCAGGCCAAGUAUCCGCCAAUCCACUAAGCAAAAUCUGUUAAUGGUUUGAAGCCAAAACCCAUCAACAAAAUAAUUAAGAUACGAUUAGUAAUUCAAAUUUCUUAAAAUCAUAAAUCAUCCAGUGAAAAACUUUGCUCAAUAUGGUGGGUAUACAGACACGUUUUUUAAUCUGCAGAUUAACCAAAGAGUGCCACUUGUCAUUUUCACUCACUAUAACGUGAGAAAUGUAUAUAUAUAAUGUUUUCAGGACCAAAAAUCUGUGUCACCCAAAGCAUAAAUUGUCAAAAUGAUGACAUCAAACAUGGUGGUAGUAUGAGCACCAAGCAAUUAGCGUAGAAAUAGAGGCAAUCAUGAUUGCAUGGUAUUAGGAGGUUUGCAGGAGGUGGUUUAUAAUGGCAGUGGUGGAGGCAAUCUGGUAGCGAGGCAAGCAUGGCUGCAUAAACAUAGCAAGGAGGAAUAGGUGUUGGUCUAGAUCGUAUGGUUGAAGCAGAGCAGCAGUUAUGCUAUGGCAUUAUUAAUGGUAUUAGAUCCGUGGGUGAUGUUUUGUCAAUUGAGUUUAUGAUGAAGAUGGAGGAUUGAGAGAGGAGGAGCAGCAAGCAUUCAAUAGGUAUCAUUUCAACUUCAAAUGCUGUAGAUGACAGUACAUUCAACAAAGGAUAACAAAACAGAGAUAAAAGAACUAUUCCCAUUGGAUCAUUUCAAACAGAGUAGAAAAAUCAUUUCCCAUAUUUCAAAUAAAGUUAUUCAUGAAAUCUAAAAUCAAUAAUUAACAUCAUACCGGUUCUUCAGCACACUCACGAUCAAACUCCUCGCGAGUUACAAUCUUCUUUCUUUUCACAAGUUGACUAUCAAAAGAGAAGCCAUCCAAUACAGUAUGGCACCUGUAAUAUCUUCUGUAUAAGAAUGGUGAAUAGAAUCCUGCAAAAUAGUAAAUGUCCGAUCACUUAAGAUAGCUAAGAUCACAUAAAUCAUUUUAUCAAUAUAAACUAUGAAGAACAUCUGACAAAUAUCACUAUGGAGAAGAGCCUCUACAAGGAUUAAUAAUCAAAUUAACAUUCAUCAAGCUAUGGCAUCAGAACUGUUACCAUCAAAAUGCAACAGCCUCGUGCAUGAUUCAUCAUAUUCAAUUGGUGGAUCCUCUCUGCAUCUCAAAACACAGUAACAAAUUACUAUGUAGUAUAUAAGACUGUUAUUAAAAAAAAAAAAAAAAAAAAACUUGAAAACAAUGCAAAAGUCGUAGCUUGAAUUUAGGAGACGUACAAAUGCAAAGCUGUUUUCUUCCAAGAGCCUUUGUACUGAAGUAGACCACUUGCUUUCUUAAGACAGAGACUCAUCCACAGAGGCUCUUCAUUACAAAAUAUAUACAUCACACUGCAGACAGAACCGGGAAAAAAAAAACAUAACUUAAAAGAACAAAAUAAAUCUUAGAACAAUGACGAAAAGACCAAUUAAAGCUCCUUUGAAACUGCUUCUAUGAAGCAGUAGUGAAAAACUUAACUAAAAAGAAGAAUCAUAAAAAUUUCAACAAAGACUAACCAUUGAAAAUCCAUUACACUGAAUUCAAAUGUUGAUUAAAUAAUAUGAAAUUAAGAUUUCAUAAGCUAACAGAUUAUUCAUACUUUAACUCGCUCUAACUUUUCCACAAUAGACAAAUUAAUCAACGUGAAAUCAAGAAAAAAAAUUACAAUGACCAAUUAAAAGUAAUCAAGAUUAGGCUGUUAGAAAUAAUUUUUUUAAAUUUUUUUAUUUAUAAAACUGUUAGAAGUAAUUACAGAAACAGAAAUAAACAAAAUAAAAUAAAACCUGCUAACGCAGGCGAGACGACCGACGUCGCGAGGAGUGAGAUGUUCCAACAUAGAGCAGAUGAUUUCAUCGGGAAUGAUUUUAAGAUCGCCGAGUGCAUCAGGUCGACGAUCUUUCACCGGGAGUGCUUGAUCAGAAUUCUGCAUUGAUUUGCUUUGCUUUGCGACACUACCGAAUCGAAUCGCUUUUAUCUCCGUAGUUUUUUAGUUUGCGCUCUUUUUAAAUGUUUGCGUAGAUAGAACGCGGCGUUUUGCAGCUUGCAAAGAUGGCGGGCAUUCAGCAAGAUUCGCGUAGACUCUAACGAUGAUGAGGGCGCGUGGAGAUUCUCUUAACGUGUUUGUUGCACGUGGGCCGCGGCUGGACCGUUUCUUGGUACCUUUUAAAGAUUUUUUCCUUUUUUAUUUUUAUUUUUGAAAAUAUUCUUUUCUUGCACUGACCCUAAAAGUGUAUAUGUACUCUUUUAUCUUCUCUUCGGCCCGCACAAAACAACCUUCUUUCCGAUAUUCCACAUUGUGCAAUCAAUAAUAAUGAUAUGAUUCUAAAAUGAAAUAUAAAAUUUAUAUUUCAAUUAAUGUAAGUAAUAUUAUUACAAAUGGAUAUUAUCAUUUUACAAGGUAAUUUUUCCUGAUAUAUUGUUUCACAUUCACAGUAUUUAGUCAGAAUUGUUUCCUGCUCGCUCAGCCUGGACAAUGAAAUGUGAUAAAACAAAAAGGCCUAGAGAGACCGAUGUCGACGGAGUUUAAAAUCAAGAAAAUUUAAAAACAAAAAGGCCCCGAGUCUGCUAAAUGAAGGUUUAUGAUUUUUUUUUUUUUUUUGAAGUCUGUUAUACACAGAUAUUACUGACAUUACAUCAGACAUUACAAUUAAUAUUUGCAAUCAUACUAUAUAACUGGGACCACCACAAUACAUUGACACACUGAAGUAUAUGCCUAGAUAUUUUAAACCCUCUCUAAUAUUCAAGGGGUGCCUGCUCCACUCACAUUUCGUAAAGGAGAGACUGUCUCUACUCAAUUAAUUAAUAAUUGAGGAAGAACUGAAACUAACCUCCAUAAUGCUCUUAUGGAGGCUCGAACCCUUGCACUCAACAUUGUAAGUGCAAGGCUUCUCCCAUUGGACCAAAG
rnacentral:lncRNA from 1 species